rnacentral:rRNA from 1 species
AGUCAAGUAAUUAAGUGCAUGUGGUGGAUGCCUUGGCAGUCAGAGGCGAUGAAAGACGUGAUAGCCUGCGAAAAGCUCCGGGGAGGCGGCAAAUAUCCUUUGAUCCGGAGAUGUCUGAAUGGGGGAACCCACCUACUUUAAGGUAGGUAUUGCAACAUGAAUACAUAGUGUUGCAAGGCGAACGAGGGGAAGUGAAACAUCUCAGUACCCUUAGGAAAAGAAAUCAAUUGAGAUUCCCUCAGUAGCGGCGAGCGAACGGGGAUCAGCCCAUUAAGUUAUGUGUGUUUUAGUGGAACGCUCUGGGAAGUGCGAACGUAGAGGGUGAUAUUCCCGUACACGAAAGGGCACACAUAAUGAUGACGAGUAGGGCGAGGCACGUGAAACCUUGUCUGAAUAUGGGGGGACCAUCCUCCAAGGCUAAAUACUCCUGACUGACCGAUAGUGAACCAGUACCGUGAGGGAAAGGCGAAAAGAACCCCUGUGAGGGGAGUGAAAUAGAUCCUGAAACCGCAUGCAUACAAGCAGUGGGAGCACCUUCGUGGUGUGACUGCGUACCUUUUGUAUAAUGGGUCAGCGACUUAUAUUCAGUAGCGAGGUUAACCGUAUAGGGGAGCCGUAGAGAAAUCGAGUCUUAAUAGGGCGUUUAGUUGCUGGGUAUAGACCCGAAACCAGGCGAUCUAUCCAUGAGCAGGUUGAAGGUUGGGUAACACUAACUGGAGGACCGAACCCACUGUCGUUGAAAAGCCAGGGGAUGACUUGUGGAUAGGGGUGAAAGGCUAAUCAAGCCUGGUGAUAGCUGGUUCUCCCCGAAAGCUAUUUAGGUAGCGCCUCGGACGAAUACCAUAGGGGGUAGAGCACUGUUUCGGCUAGGGGGUCAUCCCGACUUACCAAACCGAUGCAAACUCCGAAUACCUAUGAGUACUAUCCGGGAGACAGACUGCGGGUGCUAACGUCCGUAGUCAAGAGGAAAACAAUCCAGACCGCCAGCUAAGGCCCCAAAAUCAUAGUUAAGUGGGAAACGAUGUGGGAAGGCAUAGACAGCUAGGAGGUUGGCUUAGAAGCAGCCACCCUUUAAAGAAAGCGUAAUAGCUCACUAGUCGAGUCGGCCUGCGCGGAAGAUGUAACGGGGCUAAAACUAUGUGCCGAAGCUGCGGAUGUAUACUUUGUAUACGUGGUAGGGGAGCGUUCUGUAAGCCGAUGAAGGUGUGUUGAGAAGCAUGCUGGAGGUAUCAGAAGUGCGAAUGCUGACGUGAGUAACGACAAAACGGGUGAAAAACCCGUUCGCCGAAAGACCAAGGGUUCCAGUCCAACGUUAAUCGGGACUGGGUGAGUCGACCCCUAAGGCGAGGCCGAAAGGCGUAGUCGAUGGGAAAAUGGUUAAUAUUCCAUUACUUCUGUGUAAUGCGAUGAGAGGACGGAGAAGGCUAAAUCAGCCUGGCGUUGGUUGUCCAGGUGAAAGGAUGUAGGCAUGUAUCUUAGGCAAAUCCGGGGUACUCUAUGCUGAGAUCUGAUAGCAAGCUGUACUUGUACAGCGAAGUGGUUGAUGCCAUGCUUCCAGGAAAAGUCUCUAAGCUUCAGUUACACAGGAAUCGUACCCGAAACCGACACAGGUGGUCAGGUCGAGUAGACCAAGGCGCUUGAGAGAACUCUGCUGAAGGAACUAGGCAAAAUGGUACCGUAACUUCGGGAGAAGGUACGCUGUUGUUGGUGAUGGAACUCGCUUCCUGAGCUGACGACAGCCGCAGAAACCAGGCCGCUGCAACUGUUUAUUAAAAACAUAGCACUCUGCAAACACGAAAGUGGACGUAUAGGGUGUGAUGCCUGCCCGGUGCUGGAAGGUUAAUUGAUGGGGUUAGCGUAAGCGAAGCUCUUGAUCGAAGCCCCAGUAAACGGCGGCCGUAACUAUAACGGUCCUAAGGUAGCGAAAUUCCUUGUCGGGUAAGUUCCGACCUGCACGAAUGGCAUAAUGAUGGCGGCGCUGUCUCCAGCAGAGGCUCAGUGAAAUCGAAAUCGCUGUGAAGAUGCAGUGUACCCGCGGCUAGACGGAAAGACCCCGUGAACCUUUACUGCAGCUUGACACUGAACUUUGACCUUACUUGUGUAGGAUAGGUGGGAGGCUUUGAAGCUGGAACGCUAGUUCCAGUGGAGCCGUCCUUGAAAUACCACCCUGGUAAUGUUGAGGUUCUAACUCUGUCCCGUGAUCCGGGACGAGGACCGUGUCUGGUGGGUAGUUUGACUGGGGCGGUCUCCUCCUAAAGAGUAACGGAGGAGUACGAAGGUGCGCUCAGCGUGGUCGGAAAUCACGCGUAGAGUAUAAAGGCAAAAGCGCGCUUAACUGCGAGACCCACAAGUCGAGCAGGUACGAAAGUAGGUCUUAGUGAUCCGGUGGUUCUGUAUGGAAGGGCCAUCGCUCAACGGAUAAAAGGUACUCUGGGGAUAACAGGCUGAUACCGCCCAAGAGUUCAUAUCGACGGCGGUGUUUGGCACCUCGAUGUCGGCUCAUCUCAUCCUGGGGCUGAAGCAGGUCCCAAGGGUAUGGCUGUUCGCCAUUUAAAGAGGUACGCGAGCUGGGUUUAGAACGUCGUGAGACAGUUCGGUCCCUAUCUACCGUGGGCGCUGGAAAUUUGAGAGGAUCUGCUCCUAGUACGAGAGGACCAGAGUGGACGAACCUCUGGUGUACCGGUUGUGACGCCAGUCGCAUCGCCGGGUAGCUAUGUUCGGAAGGGAUAACCGCUGAAAGCAUCUAAGCGGGAAGCCUACCUCAAGAUAAGAUUUCCCUAGGACUUUAUGUCCUCUAAAGAGCCGUUCGAGACUAGGACGUUGAUAGGUUGGAUGUGGAAGCAUAGUGAUAUGUGAAGCUGACCAAUACUAAUUGCUCGUGAGGCUUGACUAU